rnacentral:lncRNA from 10 species
GUUUUUGUUUGUUUUUGUGCAGAGGUCAGAUCUCUUGUCUCAUAGUGCAAAGGCGAUGAAGGCCUUCAUUACAGUCUCUCAAUUUGACUCUCAGUUUGAUCGGAAGUUGCUAAGAUGGGCUGACAUUGUGAGGAGGAUACUGCUACAGCAGUAGUGUGUGUGUGUGUGUGUGUGUGUGUGUGUGUGUUUGUACAGACUGUCUCACUCUGCCACCCAGGCUGGAGUGCAGUGGUGCAGUCAUAACUUACUGUAACCUUGAACUCGUGGGCUCAAGUGAUCCUCCUGCCUCAGCCUCCCGAGUAGCUAGGACUGUAGGCUUGUGCCACCAUGCCUGGCCCUUUUUUUUUUUUUUUUUUUUUUUUUUUUUUGUACAGACAGGGUCUUGCUGUGUUGCUAAGGCUGGUCUCAAACUCCUGGCCUCAAGUGGUCUUCCUGCUUCAGCCUCCCAAAACACUGGUAUUACAGGAGUGAGCCAGAGCACCUGGCCUGAAGCUAUAUAUUAUUGUUAACUGCAGUCAUCCGACAGUGCUAUAGAACACUAGACUCUGUUCCUGUCUAGCUCUCUCCCCAUUUUUCCCAUCCUCCUACCCUUCCUAACCUCUAGUAUCCUGUGUUUACUUUUGACUUCUGUGAGAUCAACUUUUUUUAGCUUCCACAUGUAUUAGUGAGAACAUGUGGUGUUUAACUUUCUGUUUUUGGCUUAUCUCACUUAAUAUAGUGUCCUCCACUUCUAUCCAUGUUGCUGUGAACGACAGGAUUUCAUUCAUUUUUAUGGCUAAAUAGUAGUCCAUUUUGUAUAGAUACCACAUUUUCUUCAUCUGUUGUUGGACACCUAGAUUGAUUCCCUGUUUGGCUAUUGUGAAUAGUGCUACGGUAAAUAUGGGGUAUAGAUGUCUCUUUGAUGUCAUGAUUUCCUUUCCUUUGGAUAAAUUCCCAGUAGUGGGAUUGCUGGAUCAUAUGGUAGUUCUAUUUGUAGCUUUUGAGGAAAUUCCAUACUGCUCUCCAUAGUGGCUGUACUAGUUUACAUUCCUACCAAUAUGCUGGGAUUACAGGUUUGAGCCACUGUGCCUGGCCUGUAUUUUUGAUAAUAGCCAUUCUAACUGGGGUGAGAUGAUACCUCAUUGUGGUUUUGUUUUGCAUUUCCUUGAUGAUUAGUGAUACUGAGCAUUUUUUAUGUAUUUGGCCAUUUGUAUGUCUUUUGAGAAAUGUCUGUUCAGGUAAUCCCCCUGCCCCGGCUUUUUUCUUUUCUUUUCUUUUCUUUUUUUUUUGAGACGGAGUCUCACUCUGUCACCCAGGCUGGAGUGCAGUGGUGUGAUCUUGGCUCACUGCAACCUCCACCUCCAAGGUUCAAGUGAUUCUCCUGCCUCAACCUCUUGAGUAGCUGGGACUACAGGCGCACACCACCACGACCUGCUAAUUUUUGUAUUUUUAAUAGAGAUGGGAGUUUGCCAUGUUGGCCAGGCUGGUCUUGAACUCCUGACCUCAGUUGAUCCACCCGCCUCGGCCUCCCAAAGUGCCAGGAUUACAGGCGUGAGCCACCCACCUGGCCAAUUUGCCCAUUUUUUAAUUGGAUUUUUUUUUUUUGCUGUUGAGAUGUGUGAGUUCCUUGUAUAUCAAUCCCCUGUUGGAUGAAUAGUUCGCAAAUACUUUCUCCCAUUCUGUAGGUUGGCUUUUCAUUCUAUUGUUUCCUUUGUUUUGCUGAAGCUUUUUAGCUUGAUAUAAUCCCAUUCAUUUAUGUUUGCUUUUGUUGUCCGUGCUUUUCAGUUACUCAUCAAAUCUUUUCCCAGACCAAUGUGAUGAAGCAUUUCCCCUAUGUUUUGUAGUAGUUUUAUCAUUUGGGUCUUAUAUUUAGGUCUUUGAUUCAUUUUUAGUUCAUUUUUGUAUAGGAUGAGAGGUGGAGGUCUAGUUUCUAUUUUCACUCUUCUGCAUAUGGAUAUUUAAUUUUCACAGCACCAUUUGUUGAAGAGACUGUCCUUUCCCCAAUGAAUGUUCUUGGCGCCUUUGUCAAAAAUCAGUUGGCUGUAGAUAUGCAGGUUAAUUCCUGGGUUUUCUAUUCUUUUCCAUUGGUCUGUGUAUCUGUUUUUAUAGACACAUACCAGUUGUUUUAUAGACCAGUACCGUGUCGUUUUGCUUACUACAGCUUUGUAGUAUAUUUUAAGGUUUGGUAGUGUGAUACCUCCAGCUCUGUUCUUCUUGCUCAGCAUUGCUUUGGCUAUUUGGGGUCUUUUGCAGUUUCAUACAAAUUUUAGGAUAUUUUUUCUAUUUCUGUGAACAAUGUCAUUGGUAUUUUGAUGGAGAUUGCUCUUUUAAUUAUCUUGAUUUCUUUUUUUCCCCCCCAAGACAGGGUCUCACUUCGUUAUCUAGGCUGGAGUGCAGUGGCAUGAUACAGCUCAGUGCAGCCUUGACCUCCUGGACUUAGGUGAUCCUCCCACCUCAGCCUCCUGAAUAGCUGGGACUGCAGGCACAUGCCACCACAUCUGGCUAAUUUUUUGUACUUUUUUUUGUAGAGACGGGGUUUUGCCAUGUUGCCCAGGCUGGUCUCGAGCUCCUGAGCUCAAGCGGUCCACCCACCUCAGCCUCCCAAAGUGCUGGGAUUACAGGCAUACACCACUGCACCUGGCCUCUUUUCAAUUUCUUGAUGGUGUUCUUUGAUGUACAAAAGUUUUUAACUUUAAAUGAAGUCCAGUUUAUCUACUUUUUCUUUGGCUUAUUGUGCUUUUGGUAUCCUUUUCUUUUCUUUUCUUUCUUUUUCUGAGACAGAAUCUCGCACUGUUGGCCAGGCUGUAGUGCAGUGGCACAAUCAUGGCUCACUGUAGCCUCGACCUCUAGAGCUCAAGGGAGCCUACUGCCUUAGCCUCCUGAGUAGCUAGGGCUACAGGCGGUACCAUUAUGCCUGGUUAAUUUUUUAAAUUAUUUUUUGUAGAGACAGAGUUUUACUAUGUUGCCCGG